UACGAAGGGAGCUAGCGUUGUUCGGAAUUACUGGGCGUAAAGGGCGCGUAGGCGGCUUGGUAAGUCGGGUGUGAAACCUCCAGGCUCAACCUGGAGACGCCACUCGAUACUGCCAUGGCUAGAGUCCGGUAGGGGCCCACGGAAUUCCUGGUGUAGCGGUGAAAUGCGCAGAUAUCAGGAGGAACACCGGUGGCGAAGGCGGUGGGCUGGGCCGGAACUGACGCUGAGGAGCGAAAGCGUGGGGAGCGAACAGG
rnacentral:rRNA from 1 species